UCCCUUGUCUUGGCAGUGGCUUUCACCUAAUGUUUCGAUACGUUUUAAGGGUCCUUUUGAUUUGAAAGUUUUACUGAAUCAACUUUAUUAUGUUUAUAUCCUUCAUGUAAAAUUUCAUAGUUAUUUGAGUUCAUCUUAUAUGUUUACUUGUAGUCUUAAAAGGCUUGGUCAAAAUCGGACAGUUUUGCUAAGUUAUAGUUCAUGGUGUAUAAACCCCUGUUCCUUUGGUAUGUUUGAGUGCCAUUUUAUUUUUAAUGUAACUAGACAUUCUUAGGUUUCUGUAAAUGUAUAUUUUAUAUUUUUAUUUAAUGUAUAUAAUAAUAUACAAAUUUUCUAAAUGAGUUAGUUUGGAGAGUGUUAUUUUUGGACAGUUAUUUUGGUUAAUAUUUGACAAAUUAUUUGAAAGGUCAUAUAUAGUUAUAUUAAUCUGAAACUUUUUCCAUAUUAAGUAUAAUGUGUUGUGAUCUUGUGGUUUAAAUUUCAGCUUUAUUUCAUGAGGUUUAGUAUUUUUCAUGUAAUUUCUAAUUAUAUGAUCUGAAACUGUCUAUUUUUGGUAGAUUAUACUAAAUUGUACACAUCUCAUUACCUAAUAACUAUCUUAAUUCAUAGUUUCCUCUAAAAGAAAAUAGACAUCUAGAGGUUUUCAAAAUCAUAUGUCAUAUUCUCUGAUUCAUUUUCAAUGAAUUGAUAAUAUGUUUUGAAGUUGAGUGAAAUACGGAAGGUUGAUUAUGUACUUUGCAUUUAGUUGAGAAAUUAUGUUACUAUUGAGUAAAAAGCAUGCAUACUCAUGAUAUACUAAAACUUUAUAAUUUAUUAAGUCGGUGUUGCGAAUCUAGGAUUGAAGUAUAGACCUAUGAUGAAGAGUAGAUUAUAUAUGAUAAUGUUGUAGCUUUAGUUUAUCGACACUAAACCUAAGGUUUAUAUUGUAGGCCCAACUGAAGAAGAUACCUAAGUGGAACCACUCUAUAGAGAGACCAAAACCAUCUUGUAUAUCAGGUUGAGCGGCAGAUGUGGAGUGUGGUGCUGAGAUGAAGAUCUUUUUUUCUAUUGUAUAUAACUAGUUCCUUUAAUGGAACAACUCUUUUGUGUAUCUCCACCCGCUUCCUAUUUUGUAUAUCAUGACGACUCUUGUACAGUUUACUAAUGUAAAAUGAUCU